AAAGCUUAAAUGCCAAGUCGACGAGAGACCUUNCGGGUCUCUAGUGGCGAACGGGUGAGUAACACGUAGGGAACCUGCCCGCGCACCGGGAAUACGCUCUGGAAACGGAGAACAAAUCCCGAUGUACAGGAAGGAGGCAUCUUCUUUCUGUGAAACAUCCUCUAGGGGAUGGGGCGCGGAUGGACCUGCGGUGCAUUAGUUGGUUGGCGGGGUAAAGGCCCACCAAGACGAUGAUGCAUAGCCGGCCUGAGAGGGCGGACGGCCACAUUGGGACUGAGACACGGCCCAGACUCCUGCGGGAGGCAGCAGUAGGGAAUUUUCGUCAAUGGGCGCAAGCCUGAACGAGCGAUGCCGCGUGAGUGAAGAAGGCCUUCGGGUCGUAAAGCUCUGUUGCGGGGGAAAAAAGGCAGCAUCAGGAAAUGGGUGCUGACUGAUGGUGCCCCGCCAGAAAGUCACGGCUAACUACGUGCCAGCAGCCGCGGUAAUACGUAGGUGGCGAGCGUUAUCCGGAAUGAUUGGGCGUAAAGGGUGCGCAGGCGGUCCUGCAAGUCUGGAGUGAAACGCAUGAGCUCAACUCAUGCAUGGCUUUGGAAACUGGAGGACUGGAGAGCAGGAGAGGGCGGUGGAACUCCAUGUGUAGCGGUAAAAUGCGUAGAUAUAUGGAAGAACACCAGUGGCGAAGGCGGCCGCCUGGCCUGUUGCUGACGCUGAGGCACGAAAGCGUGGGGAGCAAAUAGGAUUAGAUACCCU
rnacentral:rRNA from 1 species